CUUAACUGCGAGAGUGACGGCUCGAGCAGGUACGAAAGUAGGUCAUAGUGAUCCGGUGGUUCUGAAUGGAAGGGCCAUCGCUCAACGGAUAAAAGGUACUCCGGGGAUAACAGGCUGAUACCGCCCAAGAGUUCAUAUCGACGGCGGUGUUUGGCACCUCGAUGUCGGCUCAUCACAUCCUGGGGCUGAAGUCGGUCCCAAGGGUAUGGCUGUUCGCCAUUUAAAGUGGUACGCGAGCUGGGUUUAGAACGUCGUGAGACAGUUCGGUCCCUAUCUGCCGUGGGCGUUGGAUGAUUGAGGGGAGCUGCUCCUAGUACGAGAGGACCGGAGUGGACGAACCGCUGGUGUUCGGGUUGUGUCGCCAGACGCAUUGCCCGGUAGCUAAGUUCGGCACAGAUAAGCGCUGAAAGCAUCUAAGCGCGAAGCUGGCCCCGAGAUGAGUCAUCCCUAGAGCUUCGAGCUCUCUAAAGGGUUGUUCUAGACUAGAACGUUGAUAGGCAGGGUGUGUAAGCGCUGUGAGGCGUUGAGCUAACCUGUACUAAUUGCCCGUGAGGCUUAACCAU
rnacentral:ncRNA from 1 species